rnacentral:lncRNA from 1 species
AUCAGUUUCGUGACCCUGCUAUGGAUCGAUUACAGCAAAGUGGCCUCCAGUGUGGCUGCCAGGGGACGAGGGUGACUUUUUCCCAUGGACGUCUUUGUGCACAUCCUGUAAACCGAGCCCUAUGAGCUGCGGAAACACAGGCAAGACCAGGCAAUUGUGGACCACAUGGAGCCCAGGGCACUAGACAGCCAGCAGCUGAGCACCUAGAGGGAGGCCCAGUUGACCAGGAGAGCCGUGUUAGGCCUGAGGCAUCUCCCUCUUCACUGAGCUCAAAGCCCCAGUUUGCCUGUGGCCGUGGGUGCCGUUAUGUGCUCUCCACGCCUCCGUCCUUCAGUGGCCCUAGGGGCUGCUUCCCAUAGCGAGGUCACCAUGACCUGCAGCUCCCAGAAGCCUGGCUGGAUCCCAUUGCUGACCCUCAUUCUGUCCACCCCAGAUCUUCAUCCCCAAACUGGCAGACAUGGUCGUGGUCAUAGUCGUUGUGCUCUGGAACUGGGGGCUCAGGAGCCGACCAUUCUGGCUUAGGCCAGGAGGCCCCUCUUGGUGGGCACAGUGCACUUAGUUCUGGGCCCUGAGCCUCAUCCGCUGUAUACAGAUGAAGCUUUGAUGGACAAAGUUGCACCUUUGAACUUGGGGCUUCAGCAUCUUGCCAAGGCUUCUGGGUGCUGCUGUGCCCCU